AGUACAGCUCCGGCCGCCGCGCCGCUUGGCUUUCGUAUUCCUUGUUCUCGGCAGGCUGUGGGGCCUCCGCGCCGCGGCCGUUAGUCAUGUCGGAUUCUGGAAGUUACGGUCAGUCUGGGGGUGAGCAGCAAAGUUAUUCUACCUAUGGAAAUCAAGGCAGCCAAGGCUAUGGACAAGCAUCACAAGUAGGUUGAAAUAUAAAUUGUAUUCUUCAUAAGUAGUUAUUUUUAUCUUAAGUAGGUGAUGAAACUUGAGUAUUUACCUAAAUUUCAGAGCUAUUCUGGCUAUGGGCAAACGACUGAUUCCUCUUAUGGACAGAACUACAGCGGUUACUCCAGUUACGGACAAAGUCAGUCAGGUUGGACUAGUUUGUUAAAUUUGUUGUUUCAGAGAUUGAAAAAUCAGAGCUUUCACUAAAUGAUAUACUCAUCUAAUCUUUAGGUUAUUCACAGUCCUAUGGUGGUUAUGAGAAUCAAAAGCAGAGCUCAUAUAGCCAGCAACCAUAUAAUAACCAGGGACAGCAGCAAAACAUGGAAUCACCAGGAAGCCAAGGUGGAAGAGCACCUUCCUAUGACCAGCCAGACUAUGGUCAACAAGAUUCAUAUGACCAGCAGUCAGGCUAUGAUCAACAUCAAGGCUCAUAUGAUGAGCAGUCAAAUUAUGAUCAGCAGCAUGAUUCCUAUAGUCAAAACCAGCAGUCCUAUCAUUCACAAAGGGAAAAUUACAGCCACCACACACAAGAUGACCGUCGUGAUGUGAGUAGGUAUGGAGAAGAU
rnacentral:sRNA from 1 species